UGCUCAAAGUAGAGGUCCAGGGCCUCA
rnacentral:piRNA from 1 species